rnacentral:rRNA from 1 species
UACAUGUGGGGCAAGCGUUGUUCGGAAUUACUGGGCAUAAAGGGUGCGUAGGCUGUGCGGAAAGUUGGGUGUGAAAUCCCCCGGCUCAACCUGGGAAUGGCGAUGGAUACUGGCGAGCUAGAGUGUGUCAGAGGAUGGUGGAAUUCCCGGUGUAGCGGUGAAAUGCGUAGAGAUCGGGAGGAACAUCAGUGGCGAAGGCGGCCAUCUGGGACAACACUGACGCUGAAGCACGAAAGCGUGGGGAGCAAACAGG